UGAUUUAAUUCCGUAUGAACAUGUGCUAAGCUCAAACAGCAGUUACUGCCAACCUUUUGGUGCUGAGUCUAGACGUAGAUGAGGAAAAUAUAGGAAAUUAGGCUGUUUGGUAUGAAUUAGGAAAGUAGUUAAUGAAGGGAAAAUGUGCUUGUUGAACUUAAUAUAUGCUUCUUUGGUCAAAACAAUCAAAUUAAUUCCAUCUAAUUGUAUGAAUUCAUAUCGGUUUAUAACAAUUUAUAAAUCAACCUAUGAAUUCAGUUUGUCUAAGAUCUCAUGCAAAUAUUGAAACAAAUCUAGAUCUUAUGAUUUCAAAUAUACCUGGUUAUUCUGCAUCGGAAAGUUGAAUAAACCAAGUCAAGAUUUCUAGCACUACAAGAAAUAUGAAUAUUGGUAACAGUUUGCGGUAGCACGAAUUCACCAACUGCUAUUAAAAGUAGCAAAUUUAAACACCAACUCUAUCGUAGCAUUAAAUUAAUGGUAGGACAAAAUUUUAUUAAACACGGAAACAAAAUUCGCGGAUUUUGUUUACGGUAAGAUUUUUGUGCGAAAAAAUUAUUUUUGCCCGCCAACACUUAGGAAAAUAACUCAUUAUUCCCUCUCUUCUCAAACAAAGAUUUUUUUUUUAUUCACUUCAAUCUAUCUUAUCUUCGUUUAAACAAAAAAAAAAUCUAUCCAUCUUCUUCAAACUUAAUCCACUGGAUCUAGUGAGAUUUAUCAAUAGAACCUAAACAAUCCAUCGUUUUGUGAUGGAGACAAUUCCAGUUUCCGCUGAGAGCUUCAAGGUAGGGGUGAAAGAUGGCGGAGAUUAUAGAUAGAGGUGUGUGGCUGCCUCCGGGAUGCUUCCUCCGAAUCGUAUCUCUACCGCCGUUCACUCGAUUCUGAAUCGCCAUACCGGAAACCAACCUAUCCGCCUUCCUCCGUCGCUCUUCACCACCAUCACCUUUGCCUUCUCUCGCUUCUUCUUUUUCUUCUAGAGGUCGCCGAUGUCUGAGUCUUACACUUAGCUUGAAGAAAUAAGGUUGAAGAGGAUGGUUGUUACUGACGAAUACUUCACUAAAGUUAAUGAAUUUCAUAAAGCUUCAAACUUUGAACAGAUAUACAAAGUGGCUUCUGUGAUAGAUAUCAAAUAUUUUUACACGGACUUGGCAUGUGCAGAGGAGAGUUUCACUGAGUUCUGGAUAUCAAGACUCUAUCACUUUGCUCCAACAUCUCUGGUCAGAUUCUGGCCAGUCUCGUCAUGAACCCACCCGAGCCUGGUGAUGAGUUAUGCGAGUGGUGAUGAGUCCUGCUACAUAGCAGAGAAAGACGGAAUACUCUCGUCCUUAGCAAAACGUUCAAAGGUUAGCCAUUCACAGAGAACUUACUAACUAAACUUGCAGAUUUUCAUGGAACUAAAUGAAGGUUUCAUGUAUAGAAACUAAGUUCUUGAACUUGCAGAUGUAAAUCCUCUGAUCUGAGGACGAGGACUAUGUUUUUGUCCUUUCCCGAUCUGCAAAUGUAAAGCUCGUACUUGUUCUUAACUUUGUAGAGCUGUGAUUUGGUGGAGAUAGUGUUUACUGAAUCAUUAGAUUAGUGAAUGGAAGGUCUGUUAAUCUGAAGAUUUUUUUAUUACUGUCUUGCUUAUUGAAUAGAUAUUAAUCUCUCAUUUUCUAAAAAAGGAUGUUGCUUUGUUUUUGAACAAAAACUACAGGCCAGAACAUCAGGAAGCUUGUGAAGGAUGGUUUAUGCUUGAACAUCAGGUUCUUUGAUUUUCUAUUUUCGUGAAGCUUGUGUACCCAGUUUUGGCUACUUAGAUUGAAAAUUUCUCAAGUGGAACUUUGAUCACUAAUCGAGAAGAAUGUCUUGAACUGUCUGUUUCUGUACCUUUUCUCAGCAACGAUGCCUGAGGAAAAGAUUGUGGAUACCAAGAAGAGCCACAACUCUUGAAGGGACCAAGCAACCAUUUUCUCAUUUUUCUCGAUAGUCUAUGAUGUUAGUUUAGUGUUUGGAUGAUCUUAUGUAAAACUUGUUCUUUUUAUAUGCAAUAUUAUUGUGGCAAUGACUUGUCAACCAACUACUUACAAUUCAAAUAACAAAACGUAACUAUA